AUUGAACGCUGGCGGCAGGCCUAACACAUGCAAGUCGAGCGGAUGAAGGGAGCUUGCUCCUGGAUUCAGCGGCGGACGGGUGAGUAAUGCCUAGGAAUCUGCCUGGUAGUGGGGGAUAACGUCCGGAAACGGGCGCUAUUACCGCCUACGUCCUGAGGGAGAAAGGGGGGGAUCUUCGGACCUCACGCUAUCAGAUAAGCCUAGGUCGGAUUAGCUAGUUGGUGGGGUAAAGGCCUACCAAGGCGACGAUCCGUAACUGGUCUGAGAGGAUGAUCAGUCACACUGGAACUGAGACACGGUCCAGACUCCUACGGGAGGCAGCAGUGGGGAAUAUUGGACAAUGGGCGAAAGCCUGAUCCAGCCAUGCCGCGUGUGUGAAGAAGGUCUUCGGAUUGUAAAGCACUUUAAGUUGGGAGGAAGGGCAGUAAGUUAAUACCUUGCUGUUUUGACGUUACCAACAGAAUAGGCACCGGCUAACUUCGUG
rnacentral:rRNA from 1 species